GGGGAAUAUUGGGCAAUGGGCGAAAGCCUGACCCAGCAACGCCGCGUGAAGGAAGAAGGCCUUCGGGUUGUAAACUUCUUUUAAGAGGGACGAAGAAGUGACGGUACCUCUUGAAUAAGCCACGGCUAACUACGUGCCAGCAGCCGCGGUAAUACGUAGGUGGCGAGCGUUAUCCGGAUUUACUGGGUGUAAAGGGCGCGUAGGCGGGAAUGCAAGUCAGAUGUGAAAUCCAAGGGCUCAACCCUUGAACUGCAUUUGAAACUGUAUUUCUUGAGUGUCGGAGAGGUUGACGGAAUUCCUAGUGUAGCGGUGAAAUGCGUAGAUAUUAGGAGGAACACCAGUGGCGAAGGCGGUCAACUGGACGAUAACUGACGCUGAGGCGCGAAAGCGUGGGGAGCAAAC
rnacentral:rRNA from 1 species